AUGCCUCAAACACUGCCGGACGACCUCCUUGAGGAGGUCUUCCUCCGCCUCCCGCCGGGCGAGCCCGAGCACCUCCUGCGCGCUUCCCUCGCCAGCAAGCUCUGGCUCAGCCUCCUCGCCAGCGCUCGCUUCCGUGGCCGCUACGGCGACCGCCACGGAGCUCCACCCAUGCUCGGCUUCCUCUACUCCUGGCCUGAGUACGCCGGUCCGGAGGACGAAGAACACAAGCCGCACUUCGUCUCGACCACGAAGUUCGCCCCACGUGUCCCCGACGACGAGUGGAGCGAUCUGGCCUACGCUGCGUGGGACUGCCGCCAUGGCCUCGUCCUCCUCGGGGAUAGGUGCAGGUCGCCCAUGGGGUUCGUCGUCUGGGACCCCAUGACGGGCUGCAGGUGGGAGCUCGACGUGCCGACGGGAUACAUGUCCACUAAACAACGGGGGGCCGCUGCCGUGCUCUGUUCUAUGGCUGGCUGCGACCACCGCGUGUGCCAUGAGGGGUGCUUCCGGGUCGUCUUCAUCAGCCUGGACCCGAAAAAUGGUGUUGGUGUUGCACGCGCGGGCAUCUUCUCCAUGGAGAAGGGUGGGGUGAGCAAGCCGUGCUCUCCUCUUCAUCUUGACGAUGGAGCAACCAUCGACCAAAUGCCAUCUGUCCUCGUCCAAGACGCACUUCACUUCAUGGUUCGGCAACCUCAACCUUAUGUAGCACGAGCAAUUCUCAAGUACGACUUGGGCUUUGAUAGCUUAUCGCUGAUUCAUGUGCCGCCGGAGUUGACUACGACUGUUGGUAGCACCAUCCUCAUGGCGAUGGAGGAUGGAAGUUUGGGGAUUGCUGGGAUUACACACGAGGAUAAGUUUAUCCUCCACCUCUGGUCCAAGCAGAUGGGUUCUGACGGAGUUGAGGCAUGGACUCACCGUAGAGCUGUAGAUCUCAAGGAAUUCCUCCCCAUUCAAAAUACCAAGAAAAGAGUUAUUAGACUGAUUGGAUCUAUGGAGGGCAGUGAUAUCAUUUUCGUUACCACAGAUCUUGGCAUCUACGAGAUUAAUCUCAAGUCAUUACGGUGGAAGAAGCUAUUGAAGAGAGAAAGGUUCCGUGCCUUGAUUCCGUAUGUGAGUUUCUGCAAUCCACAAGAAAGGGUGAGCACAAGCGAUGCGGCUCAUUGA
rnacentral:rRNA from 1 species